rnacentral:rRNA from 1 species
GUGCCAGCAGCCGCGGUAAUACGUAGGGUGCGAGCGUUGUCCGGAAUUAUUGGGCGUAAAGAGCUCGUAGGCGGUGUGUCGCGUCGGCCGUGAAAACCUGUGGCUUAACUAUGGGCUUGCGGUCGAUACGGGCAUCACUGGAGUUCGGCAGGGGAGACUGGAAUUCCUGGUGUAGCGGUGAAAUGCGCAGAUAUCAGGAGGAACACCGGUGGCGAAGGCGGGUCUCUGGGCCGAUACUGACGCUGAGGAGCGAAAGCGUGGGGGAGCGAACAGGAUUAGAUACCCUGGUAGUCC